ACAAUAAAGCCCCUCUCCUGUUGCUCUCCUGCCAGUGUGAUUAGCAAUGGAGGGUAAGUGCUUUGUUUAAUAUACUAUUAUAAGAAUUACCAAAUGUCUCUAUUAUUUUGCUUUAGGUUUCUUGUGCUCUAAAAUAUACUUCUAACUGAAACAUAAUAUAUAGGAACAAGCUAUAAAUCUGUUGUCGGGGAUUGGCUAAGAUUUUCCUAUAUAUUAUGUGUAUGUGUGCAUAUGUGUGUUCACAUGUAGGGGUGGGCUUAUAAAAAUCACUGUGAAUGCACAAUGUAAUACCUCUUACCCCAGCAUGCACACUAUAGCUUUCCUUUUAAACUGUUUGCAUUCCAUUAAAAAAAAAAAAACUUAACAUAUUUUUUACAGGUGUCAUAGGGCAGCUAAGGCUCUUAGAAAGUAUGUGAAUUAUACAUUUUUACUGAUAUUUUAUCCAUCUUAAGUGAUAAUAACAGGAUAUGGGAAGGUAUUGUCGGAAGAACACAGAUUAUUUGUGUUGUGAAGUUCAGUGUCUACUGACAGUCAUAAUUGCAUACUUCAAUCCUACUUCCGUAUGUUUCUAAUAUUGCAGAGGAGUGAACUUGGUGCUUGAUGAAAUACUUACGUAUGCCUCCCUUCCUGAGGCUGAGCAUUUGUCUUCACAUCUCUGCAAAGAGGACUGUGCAGUCUCUUAUGGUGUCAGGGGGAGAGCUAUGAGUGAAGAGUCCCUUCUGGAAGUUAGUUUUCUGUUUCAGCUUUUCUCCCCCAAACUGUCUCAUCAAGAAAUCCAUAGAACUCUCUUCUCCAUCACCACACCACGCAUUCUGCCUGUGGUUCCUUCCCUGGGUCCCCAGUAAACAAUUUCAGUACAUCUGGUAGUGAGUUUUAAGGAGAGUAGAAAAAGGUGAUUUCUAACUGUUAGUAAAUAGCUUCUCGAUAGGACAGUGGCUUGAGAAUGGCUCGUACAGAGACUACCCAUCCUUCAGGAAGCUGAACCUUUGUUCUGUAUAGAAGUCAGGCGCAUGGCUUAGUUGACAGGGACAAGAAGUGGUUUAGACUGUUUAUUUCUAGAGUCUUGUAUUUUUAGAAUACCAUGGAAUACGGUCUAUAUAAUUUGUUUCUGGGAAAUUAUGUUAAUGGAACAUUAAUGCUAGAUGUAGGUUUCUAUAAAGAGUAAGUAAGAAAUAAUGGUUGUAAGAGUAUAAAGCCAUACUAAAAGUUACAUUCAGCUCCUUGGAACUGAAGGAUGUGUCAUAUGUAUCAUAAGUGUUUAUUCUUUGAAUUUUCCCAGUCUUGAAACUGUAUUAAAACAGUGUUAAAUUAUACUUGCCCUUGUGUUUAAUAAGUUAUUCAUUAAUUGCUAUUAGAAACUGAUUCUCAUAAGUAGAAGCAAAUUCAUCUGCAUUACAGUAGAGUAAAUGUUGAAGAAAUUGACUCAACCUAAACUGAUACCAUACUUGUAAAAUCUCUUAUUGAAAUACACUCAUAAUGCUUGUGUUAGAAAUAAAACUAAUACGCUUCAUGCUAAAUUUUAUCUUAUUUUUUUCUGCUCGUGUUUGCAGCAAUACAACCUAAUUCAUUAGCUAACUGAAUUCACAGUUUAAAAUAUAUAUUCAGUUUCAACUUUAAAAGUUGAAAAUAGUCAUUUUCCAACUUGACCGUGCUAGCCAUACUCUGGGGAAAAUACACUUCAGGAGUCCAGCCUUCUUCCUGUUUGAGUUAGAAGCAGUCCCAGGCUAUUCAGGAAGAGUGAUCUUUAAAAUUGCCUUAGGAGAGGGUCUCUUUUAUUUUCGUGUCAUAAUGAAAGUUUUAAGUUUAACAGUUACAUUUGUUCUUGCUGAAGCGUGGAGAUGCCAAGUCUAAAGACUUGACAGCUUGAGGUAAAUGAGAUAUGCAUGAGACAUGGCAGAAAGAUGAUUAUGUCGGCUCUCACAAGACAGAUAACUGGAAGAAAAUCC
ensembl:processed_transcript B230216N24Rik RIKEN cDNA B230216N24 gene